rnacentral:sRNA from 1 species
AAAAAAAGAAUGAUAUGAAAAAGAGUUUGAAAGAUUCAUGAGUGCAAAGGGUAGAGUUAAGUUGGGACAGGAGUUGGGAUUACCAUUAGAGCUUCAUUGUUAUACUCUGGGUAGAUGGGAUCUUAUCUCUGUAUGCAUAACUUGGGACUUACCUUUAGCAUUCUACUAAAGCUCAAUCAUUCUUGAGGGAUCCCCUGUUACUUAAGCCUAUUCUGUAGGGGACCAUCUUUGUCUCUUGACCUUCACCUUAGCCAAAUGAGUUCAUUGAUGAUGCAUUGCUUGAUUCACGUUCCAGAACUAAUGAAUGUUAAAGGGAUUGGUAGAUUUGAAAACAUGUGUAGGUCGAGUAUAAGAGACGGAUUUAUUGAUAACAAGGCAUGGCUAACGUUUUUGAGUGGAAUUCAAUCAUAUCGCAUCUUAGAACUACCAACUUGGACAUUGAUUUUAUUUGCUCUAUCAUAUGCUUUGGUUCUGAGUCCCCGCCUUCACUCCUCUCCUUCAACUAUGUCUUCUUAUUUGCUUGAGGGCAAGCAAAGACUAAGUUUGGGGGAGUUGAUAUGUUUAUAAUUUGCAUGUUUUCAGUGUCUAUUCAUCAUCACUUUGAGUCUAGUUUCGUAUCAUUCAUCACUGUUGUAUAUCAUUUCUCAUCAUUCUUGCACACUUUGCAUGAUUAGGAUAGCUUUGCAUACAUAUUGCAUUUCUGAGUUGUUUUCAGGUGAUUUGGAGCUGUUUGCGAGCAAAUUGGAAGAAACGAGCCAGAACCAGAAGACAUACUCGACCCCCAGGCCGAGUGACUUUGGAGCCAUUCUUCCCACAUACUCGACCCCCAGGUCGAGUGACUUUGGAGCCAUUCUUCCCGUCCACUCGACCACCAGGUCGAGUAACCUCAGCUCAGGCCACUCGACGACAUUACUCGACCCCCGGUCGAGUACCGCUUCGCCACACCACCUGACCACACUCGACCAUUCACUCUACCACGUUACUCGACCCCCUGGUCGAGUAUCAUCACUCACCACCAUCACCAUCACUCGACCGGACACUCGAUCACGUCUUCACAGUCUACUCAAAUCCGCACUCAACCAGACAAGCUGAGCACAAGGAAGAAAAGAGGAGAAGACAAAGUGUUUGGAAGCGGCCUGGACCUCCAUCGGAUCACGAAGCCCAUCUCGGCCCAUUAUCACUCUAUGGGCCGGGCGAUUAGGUUAUUGGCCCGUCUACUAUCAUUUUAUUUCGUUUGGUAUAAAUAGAUGUUUUAGGGUUCUGUCCUAAAUCAUCUAGUCGACAUUGCGUUUUUGCUUCAGUUUUAUUUUCAGUUUUACUCUGCUACGCCGCUUUUGCUUCUGCAACCUGUAGUUCGCGAUUUUUCCAAGUUAUUGAGAUUCCAACCAGUAUACUCGACCACACCCAGUGUCUGGCAACAGACUGUGCAGUCGAGUAUAGCUGUUUCAUAUCCUGUCUGUUACUCGACCUGUUACUCGACCACAUCCUACUUCUGGCAUCAGCCUGUUGUGGUCGAGUGAUUUUAGUAAUUCUGUUAUUGCUUCUGUUUUCUGCAUGUUCGCUUAGGACUGUUAGAAACCCCAAAUCUGUUAUUGCUUGGCUUGACUUAGAGACUUCUGAUCACAUCUCAUCUGUUUGCAUCACACCCAUUUGGAUUGACACCUAAAAUACUACAACGACAUGAUUGGUGUUUUAGGAAUAAUUGACUAAAAAUAUAUUAU